AGAUUCCCACUGUCCUAUCUACUAUCUAGCGAAACCACAGCCAAGGGUAACGGGCUUGGCAGAAUCAGCGGGGAAAGAAGACCCUGUUGAGCUUGACUCUAGUCUGACCUUGUGAAGAGACACGGGGGGUGUAGGAUAGGUGGGAGGCCGGGCCCGCCCCGUGCCGACGGUGAAAUACCACUACUCUCGUCGUCUCUUUACUUAUUCGGUGAGGCGGGAAGCGGGCCCCGCGCGGGCCCAGUCUUCUGGCGCUAAGCGCCCGGCCGCCUCGCGGCGCGUCGGGCGCGACCCGCUCCGACGACAGCGUCAGGCGGGGAGUUUGACUGGGGCGGUACAUCUGUCAAAUGGUAACGCAGGUGUCCUAAGGCGAGCUCAGCGAGGACGGAAACCUCGCGUGGAGCAAAAGGGCAAAAGCUCGUUUGAUUUUGAUUUUCAGUAUGAAUACAGACCGUGAAAGCGUGGCCUAUCGAUCCUUUUUGAGCUUCGGAGUUUGAAGCAAGAGGUGUCAGAAAAGUUACCACAGGGAUAACUGGCUUGUGGCAGCCAAGCGUUCAUAGCGACGUUGCUUUUGA
rnacentral:rRNA from 1 species